GUGGGGAAUAUUGGACAAUGGGCGAAAGCCUGAUCCAGCCAUGCCGCGUGUGUGAAGAAGGUCUUCGGAUUGUAAAGCACUUUAAGUUGGGAGGAAGGGCAGUAAGUUAAUACCUUGCUGUUUUGACGUUACCGACAGAAUAAGCACCGGCUAACUUCGUGCCAGCAGCCGCGGUAAUACGAAGGGUGCAAGCGUUAAUCGGAAUUACUGGGCGUAAAGCGCGCGUAGGUGGUUUUGUAAGUUGGAGGUGAAAUCCCCGGGCUCAACCUGGGAACUGCCUCAAAAACUGCAUGACUAGAGUACGGUAGAGGGUAGUGGAAUUUCCUGUGUAGCGGUGAAAUGCGUAGAUAUAGGAAGGAACACCAGUGGCGAAGGCGACUACCUGGACUGAUACUGACACUGAGGUACGAAAGCAUGGGGAGCAAACAGGAUUAGAAACCCGUGUAGUCC
rnacentral:rRNA from 1 species